UACGAAGGGGGCUAGCGUUGUUCGGAAUUACUGGGCGUAAAGCGCACGUAGGCGGAUAUUUAAGUCAGGGGUGAAAGUCCCAGAGCUCAACUCUGGAACUGCCUUUGAUACUGGGUAUCUUGAGUAUGGAAGAGGUAAGUGGAAUUGCGAGUGUAGAGGGUGAAAAUUCGUAGAUAUUCGCAGGAACACCAGUGGCGAAGGCGGCUUACUGGUCCAUAACUGACGCUGAGGUGCGAAAGCGUGGGGAGCAAAGCAGG
rnacentral:rRNA from 1 species